CUUGUGUACAAUUUGGAAUUUAGUAUGGCGUUCAUUAUCACUGAACUAGUAUAUAUUUGUUUAGGGGCCAGCUGAAGGACGCCUCCGGGUGCGGGAAUUUCUCGCUACAUUGAAGACCUGUUGGUGACCUUUUGCUGUUGUUUUUUUCUAUGGUCGGGUUGUUGUCUCUUUGGCACAUUCUCCAUUUCCAUUCUCAAUUUUACGUAUAGGAGCCAGGGGAAAAAAGGUGACAAAACUAUGCCCCCUCCCAUUUAAGAACAAAAUUGAAACUAAAAAUGAAAAUGAAAGAGAACCACACAAUCACUAAAUUUAAGAUUAUUACACUACAUAGAAAAUAGUUUUUUUUUCUUGUCACUUUCAGAAGUUUGCC
rnacentral:lncRNA from 1 species